rnacentral:rRNA from 1 species
GACGAACGCUGGCGGCGUGCCUAACACAUGCAAGUGGAGCGACGAACCAGGGCUUGCCCUGGGGCCAAGCCGCGAACGGGUGAGUAACACGUGGGUAACCUGCCCCGAUGACCGGGACAACCCGAGGAAACUCGGGCUAAUACCGGAUGUGGUGGACACACUUAAGUGUGUCCACUAAAGGAAGCUUCGGCCUCCGCAUCGGGAUGGGCCCGCGGCCCAUUAGCUAGUUGGUGGGGUAAAGGCCUACCAAGGCAACGAUGGGUAGCUGGUCUGAGAGGACGAUCAGCCACACUGGGACUGAGACACGGCCCAGACUCCUACGGGAGGCAGCAGUGGGGAAUCUUGCGCAACGCGCGAAAGCGUGACGCAGCAACGCCGCGUGAGGGAAGACGGCCUCGG